ACAGUAGACAGUAUAGUACAGUUGUGAUUUUGCUGUAAACACGUUUUAUUAUUUAUAGCUAGUUAACAGGGGAGCUCCAGUAAGUACACGUAACGUUAUGUUUCUAAAGUGGAUUUACAUAACAGUACACCUUUAUUGAAAAUGUCUUUUACAUCAUGAAGGAAAAUAUUGUAUAAGUAUUGGAGAUGAGCACAUCCUUAUACGCAAAUGAAUUUUUCAUGUUGUGAUGUCACAUCACAAUAUGAAAAAUUCAUCUCAGUGUAAGGUUAUGUGUGCUGUGCUAUUAUGUAGGAUAAUUCACUGUUGUCAACACUGUUAACAUUAGAUAAAUGUGCUGUAAAUAAGGCAAAUAAACAAAUCUAUAAAGUAACUAAACAUGAUAUAUGUUUAAUUUGUCCCUUAUUAGUGUUGAUUUAAUGAGGAACAUUUAAGUUGGAUUAAAAGUGAGUUAACACAUCAACCUCAGCAUGUAAAUGCAGUGUUGAGCUCGUAAUGUGAAUCUUGUAUGUAUGUUACAGGGACAGGAGAACACACGCGUGUUUAUCCAGUGGAGAGAGGCUCAUGAUGCUGAAUCAUGUCAUCAAAGGAUUUGAAGUGCAGAGCUUUUGUGCUGGAGCAGGACCUGCAAGGAAAGAUGGUGGCAGCAUUUGUUGGGGAAAAAAAGGUUUUAGGGAAUUUAUUCAAAUAUAAAGAUCUGAAAUGUCUGCAGACUGGUGUGACCACUGAGGAUGAAGAGCCCAGAGCUGAAUCCUGGAAGUGGUCCCAUGGAUGAGACCCUCCAUCUCUCCAUCUGCCCUUAUGAGUCCCUCCAUCUGUCCACCUGCCCUUACGAGAACCUCCAUCGCUCCAUCUGCCCUUAUUGCCUCAGAUUGUUCAGCGCUUGCAGUAGGAUGUGGUGUUCAGCGGCUGUAAAUACAUGCUUGUACUUUGAAUAAAGCUUUGUUUCAUGUGUUGUUGACUUGUAUAUGCA